AUUGAACGCUGGCGGCAGGCCUAACACAUGCAAGUCGAACGAGUGGCGGACGGGUGAGUAAUGCCUGGGAACCUGGCUUAUGGAGGGGGAUAACGACGGGAACCUGUCGCUAAUACCGCGUACCAUCGGAUGAGCCCACGGGGAAUGAGGUAGUUGGUGGGGUAAUGGCUGACCAAGCGGACGAUCCCUAGCUGGUCUGAGAGGCUGACCGGCAACACCGGGACUGAGACACGGCCCGGACUCCUACGGGAGGCAGCAGUGGGGAAUAUGGCGCAAUGGACGAAAGCCUGACGCAGCAAUGCCGCGUGAAUGAAGAAGGCCUUCGGGUUGUAAAGGUCUUUUUGUAGGGAGGCGUUAAAUAAAGAGGAAGCACCGGCUAACUCCGUGCCAGCAGCCGCGGUAAUAC
rnacentral:rRNA from 1 species